UGGUGUGAAAAAUAUCCCUUCAAUCCUACAUUUUAGAAAGGUUCUGAACCUAAAUUAUAGGAUAAAUAUUAAGAAGGAAAAUUGCAGCGUUUAUAAGUAAGGAUAUUGCUUUAAAAAGCGAGAGAAAUGGUGCAUUAUCAGGAAGUUUGUAAUCCACAGGCGACAGAGAAAUUAUGCUAAACAACGUUGGAAAACAUGGCAAUUAAAACCAUACAAUUCAUUGCCAAUCUUUAUACGGCUUGUUCAACCGGGUAACAAUUUCUGAAAUCUGGGAAAAGCCUUUAUUGAUAAAGUAAAGGAAAAUGAAUUUUAAUCAAAAUGUGAUGAAUACCUGUCCUGAUCAAUGUGGCUAGCAUAACCAGUGGUUUAGCUACAGACGAAAAGUGUUACUUAAAUGAUAGCAGCAUGUCUCCAUAACAUAUCAGAGAAAACAAGAUCUUGAUCUCCUUGGUUAUCUUGGAAUUGAAACUAAAAGUGAAAAAAGUGAAGGAUCCAACACAAAGAAAGGUUUGAACAUAAGUUUGUAACAGAUUUGUUAUUCUCUUCUGAUUAGUUCAUUUGGCAAAUUGUUAGCUUUGAUCUUCCAUCAA